ensembl:miRNA
AGAGUGACCUGUUGGCAGCUCUCUCAGACCCUGACGCAGGCCUGAGGGCUGAGGGAGAGGCUGACACGCCACCU